UGCCGACGCUAGUAAUUAUCAUUUAAUUGGAUAAUUGGAAAUUAGAAUGCACGUCUGGUCCUAUUCCGUAUCAAUGUAAGAAUUUGCUUAUAAGAAGAGCUAGUGGAUUUAGUUAGAAAGGAACCAUGUGGCAUAUUGGUAAAUAUGGCUUAGUUAAAGGGCAAAUUGGUCCAAAGAAAAAGUAUAUCAUUAUAAGGGUUUGUUUGGCUGAAAGGAUCAGAAUUGGAAAAGGAAAUGAGAAGCUUAGAAGCAUGGGAGAGAAGAGGAAGAUUCAUGUUCAUCACCUUCAUCCUCCAUUUUCGCAACUAUGGUACAGCCUUCACUAAUCAGCUUCUGAUUCGAAGGAGAAAACUGACCUUGAAGUUGUGUCAGUGAUGCUGAAAGUGUGAAAAGAGGGAUUACGGGUUUGUUCUUGUUGGAGAUGAAGAUUUGAUCAAGAAGGAAGUUUAGUGGAAGCAAGAACACAAUCUCAACCUCCAUUUUAGCAAGGUGCAGUUAGUAGCGUUUGGUCAGUAACAGGUUUGGACUGAAGACUUGGAAGUGGUGUUGGCUCGAAGACCUCGUUGGUUUUGACAUUCCGCUGUGCAAGAUCUAUUGAAGACUCAUGUAUUAUGCUUCUUAGUAGAAUUUCAUGUUGUAUUUUAUAUGGAUCUUUCUAUAACUAUAGCUUUUGUAUGUACUCAAUAUAAAUUUUAACGUUUCAUGCAUAAUAUACUAGUCAGUUAUGUAUGGGGUGUUACAGUUGGUAUCAGAGCAGGUCGAUUCUCGGCCGAGCCAUGAGACAUCACUAGCAAUUCCUUUUCCUCCUCUCAAGUGUGCGUUGCUAGCCUGAUUUUACUGAUAUCUCAUUCAGUUGUU